UAUUGCACAAUGGGGGAAACCCUGAUGCAGCGACGCCGCGUGGGCGAAGAAGUAUUUCGGUAUGUAAAGCCCUAUCAGCAGGGAAGAAGAAAUGACGGUACCUGAGUAAGAAGCACCGGCUAAAUACGUGCCAGCAGCCGCGGUAAUACGUAUGGUGCAAGCGUUAUCCGGAUUUACUGGGUGUAAAGGGAGCGUAGACGGUAGAGCAAGUCUGAAGUGAAGGCCCGCGGCUCAACUGCGGGACUGCUUUGGAAACUGUUCAACUGGAGUGCUGGAGAGGUAAGCGGAAUUCCUAGUGUAGCGGUGAAAUGCGUAGAUAUUAGGAGGAACACCAGUGGCGAAGGCGGCUUACUGGACAGUAACUGACGUUGAGGCUCGAAAGCGUGGGGAGCAAACAG
rnacentral:rRNA from 1 species